UACGGAGGAUCCAAGCGUUAUCCGGAUUUAUUGGGUUUAAAGGGUGCGUAGGUGGUUUUUUAAGUCAGGGGUGAAAGACGGCAGCUUAACUGUCGCAGUGCCUUUGAUACUGAAGAACUUGAAUCCACUAGAGGUAGGCGGAAUGUGACAAGUAGCGGUGAAAAUGCAUAGAUAUGUCACAGAACACCAAUUGCGAAGGCAGCUUACUAUGGUGGUAUUGACACUGAGGCACGAAAAGCGUGGGGAUCAAACAGG
rnacentral:rRNA from 1 species